CCUACGUGCGGCUGCAGUGAGGGAUAUUGGUCAAUGGGGGAAACCCUGAACCAGCAACGCCGCGUGAGGGAAGACGGUUUUCGGAUUGUAAACCUCUGUCCUCUGUGAAGAUGAUGACGGUAGCAGAGGAGGAAGCUCCGGCUAACUACGUGCCAGCAGCCGCGGUCAUACGUAGGGAGCAAGCGUUGUCCGGAUUUACUGGGUGUAAAGGGUGCGUAGGCGGCUUUGCAAGUCAGAAGUGAAAUCCAUGGGCUCAACUCCGGCACGGCCUCUGAUACUGUCGGGCUAGAGUUUAGUUGCGGUAGGCGGAAUGUAUGGUGUAGCGGUGAAAUGCAUAGAGAGCAUACAGAACACCGAUUGCGAAGGCAGCUUACCAAACUACGACUGACGUUGAGGCACGAAAGCGUGGGGAGCAAACAGGAUUAGAUACCCGUGUAGUC
rnacentral:rRNA from 1 species